rnacentral:rRNA from 1 species
AUUGAACGCUGGCGGCAUGCCUUACACAUGCAAGUCGAACGGUAACAGGUCUUCGGAUGCUGACGAGUGGCGAACGGGUGAGUAAUACAUCGGAACGUGCCUAGUAGUGGGGGAUAACUACUCGAAAGAGUGGCUAAUACCGCAUGAGAUCUACGGAUGAAAGCAGGGGAUCGCAAGACCUUGUGCUACUAGAGCGGCCGAUGGCAGAUUAGGUAGUUGGUGGGAUAAAAGCUUACCAAGCCGACGAUCUGUAGCUGGUCUGAGAGGACGAUCAGCCACACUGGGACUGAGACACGGCCCAGACUCCUACGGGAGGUAGCAGUGGGGAAUUUUGGACAAUGGGCGCAAGCCUGAUCCAGCAAUGCCGCGUGCAGGAUGAAGACCUUCGGGUUGUAAACUGCUUUUGUACGGAACGAAAAGCCCUGGGUUAAUACCUUGGGGUCAUGACGGUACCGUAAGAAUAAGCACCGGCUAACUACGUGCCAGCAGCCGCAGUAAAAC